GCGCACCAGUCGAGAAAACUUUACAAUGCGCGAAAGCGUGAUAAGGGGACUCCGAGUGAUCCAGCGAGAGCUGGAUCUUUUGCCAAGUGUAAACAGCUUGGCGAAUAAGGGCUGGGCAAGGCUCGUGCCAGCCGCCGCGGUAAUACGAGCAGCCCGAGUGGUGCCCGCGGAUACUGGGCUUAAAGCGUCCGUAGCUGGUCCAACAAGUCCUUGGUGAAAGCCUGCGGCUUAACCGUAGGAAUUGCCAGGGAUACUGUUGGACUUGGAGGCGGGAGAGGCCAGGGGUACUUCCAGGGUAGCGGUUAAAUGCGUUAAUCCUGGAGGGACCACCGGUAGCGAAGGCGCCUGGCUAGAACGCGCUCGACAGUGAGGGACGAAGGCUAGGGGAGCGACCGGGAUUAGAUACCCCGGUAGU
rnacentral:rRNA from 1 species